GAUGAACGCUGGCGGCGUGCCUAAUACAUGCAAGUCGAGCGAAGCGGGGGAGGGGGAGUAACAAGUGGAUAACAUCCUAUAAGACUGGGAUAACUUCGGGAAACCGGAGCUAAACCGGAUACUUAUAGAUUGAUCCGCGCUGCAUUAGCUGGUUGGUAUGGUAACGGCUUACCAAGGCAACGAUGCAUAGCCGACCUGAGAGUGUGAUGGGCCACACGGGAACUGAGACGCGGUCCAGACUCCUGCGGGAGGAAGCAGUAGGGAAUGUUCCGAAAUGGGAGAAAGCCUGACGUAGCAAGGCCGCGUGAGUGAUGAAGGUCAUCGGAUCGUAAAACACUGUAAUUAGGGAAGCGGUACCUAAUCAGAAAGCCACGGGUAACUACGUGCGAGCAGCCGCGGUAAUAG
rnacentral:rRNA from 1 species